AACGAACGCUGGCGGCGUGCCUAACACAUGCAAGUCGAACGCGAAAACCUUCGGGUGAGUAGAGUGGCGCACGGGUGAGUAAUACGUAGGUAAUCUACCCUUAAGAUUGGGGCAACCUUCCGAAAGGAGGGCUAAUUCCAAAUAUGAUCACAGGGACUUCGGUCCUAGGGAUGAAAAGGUGACCUCUUCUUGAAAGUUAUCGCUUAAGGAUGAGCCUGCGUCCCAUUAGCUUGUUGGUGAGGUAAAGGCUUACCAAGGCUAAGAUGGGUAGCUGGUCUGAGAGGACGACCAGCCACACUGGAACUGAAACACGGUCCAGACUCCUACGGGAGGCAGCAGUGGGGAAUCUUGCGCAAUGGGGGAAACCCUGACGCAGCAACGCCGCGUGGAGGACGAAGGCCUUUGGGUUGUAAACUCCUGUCAGCAGGGAUUAAUUCUUGGAUGGCUAAUAUCCAUUCGAAGUGACAGUACCUGCAGAGGAAGCACCGGCUAACUACGUGCCAGCAGCCGCCGUAA
rnacentral:rRNA from 1 species